UGCAGCCAAAAGCGACCCCGACUUCAAAGCCUUCCUGGACGAGCGCAACCCCAAGCAGCAGCAUUCGUCCACGCUGGAGUCGUAUCUGAUCAAGCCCAUCCAGAGAGUCCUCAAGUACCCUCUGCUGCUCAGGGAGCUCUACUCGCUCACCGACCCGGACAGCGAAGAGCAUUACCACCUGGAUGUCGCCAUGAAGGCCAUGAACAAAGUGGCCAGCCACAUU